AGACAGCAGCCGCCGCGGUAAUACAGAGGGUGCAAGCGUUAAUCGGAAUUACUGGGCGUAAAGCGCGCGUAGGUGGUUUGUUAAGUUGGAUGUGAAAUCCCCGGGCUCAACCUGGGAACUGCAUUCAAAACUGACUGACUAGAGUAUGGUAGAGGGUGGUGGAAUUUCCUGUGUAGCGGUGAAAUGCGUAGAGAUCGGAAAGAACACCAAUGGUGAAAGCACUCUACUAGGCCGACACUGACACUAAGAGACGAAAGCUAGGGGAGCAAAUGGGAUUAGAUACCCCCGUAGUCCCUGUCUCUUAUAC
rnacentral:rRNA from 1 species